rnacentral:pre_miRNA from 1 species
AUUGUACUCCCUCCGUUUCAAAAUUCCUGUCUUACAUUUGUCUAGAUACGAAUGUAUCUAGUCACGUUUUAGUAUAUUAAUACAUUCAUUUCUAAACAAACCUAAGACAAGAAUUUUGAGACGGGGGAGUAUUAG